rnacentral:rRNA from 1 species
UACGUAGGGUGCAAGCGUUAAUCGGAAUUACUGGGCGUAAAGCGUGCGCAGGCGGUUUUGUAAGUCUGUCGUGAAAGCCCCGGGCUUAACCUGGGAAUUGCGAUGGAGACUGCAAGGCUUGAAUCUGGCAGAGGGGGGGAGAAUUCCACGUGUAGCAGUGAAAUGCGUAGAGAUGUGGAGGAACACCGAUGGCGAAGGCAGCCCCCUGGGUCAAGAUUGACGCUCAUGCACGAAAGCGUGGGGAGCAAACAGG